rnacentral:rRNA from 1 species
AGUGAACGCUGGCGGUAGGCCUAACACAUGCAAGUCGAACGGCAGCACAGUAAGAGCUUGCUCUUACGGGUGGCGAGUGGCGGACGGGUGAGGAAUACAUCGGAAUCUACUUUUUCGUGGGGGAUAACGUAGGGAAACUUACGCUAAUACCGCAUACGACCUACGGGUGAAAGCAGGGGAUCUUAGGACCUUGCGCGAUUGAAUGAGCCGAUGUCGGAUUAGCUAGUUGGCGGGGUAAAGGCCCACCAAGGCGACGAUCCGUAGCUGGUCUGAGAGGAUGAUCAGCCACACUGGAACUGAGACACGGUCCAGACUCCUACGGGAGGCAGCAGUGGGGAAUAUUGGACAAUGGGCGCAAGCCUGAUCCAGCCAUACCGCGUGGGUGAAGAAGGCCUUCGGGUCGUAAAGCCCUUUUGUUGGGAAAGAAAAGCAGCAGGUUAAUACCCCGCUGUUCUGACGGUACCCAAAGAAUAAGCACCGGCUAACUUCGUG